GUCUUAUUGAAAAUAAUUUUAAGUCAAAUCUGCUCAAUGAAUAAAUUUUAAAUAGCUGCAGUAUUAAUAACUGUACAAAGGUAGCAUAAUAAUUAGUUUUUUAAUUAAAAACUAGAAUGAAAGAUUUAAUGAAAAAUAAACUAUAUAAAAUUUAUUAAUUAAAUUUAUUAAUUAAAUUAAAAAAUUUAAAUUUUAAUUAAAGACGAGAAGACCCUAAGAAUUUUUCAUAAUUUAAAAUUAAAUAUUCUAAUUAUUAAAUUAUUUUAAUUGGGGCAAUUUUAAAAUUUUAAUAACUUUUAAUUAAAUUUUAACAUAAAUUUUUGAACAAUUAAAAAUUUUUAAAAAUAUAAAUUUAAAUUACCUUAGGGAUAACAGCAUUAUUUUUUUAUUAAGUUCUUAUUUAUAAAAAAGUUUAU
rnacentral:rRNA from 1 species